UUUUCAGGUUUUCACUGUCAAAAAGCCAGUUUUAUUAAUCAUGAUGUGCUUUUUCCUUCAACAGGAAAUCCCAUAGCUCAGGGAGAUCCAUCUGUUUCACCAGAAGGAAAUCCCACGGUUCAUGGCGAUCCAUCUGUUUCACCAGAAGGAAAUCCCACGGUUCAUGGCGAUCCAUCUAUUUCACCAGAAGGAAAUCCCACGGUUCAUGGCGAUCCAUCUGUUUCACCAGAAGGUAAGAGUCAACAUCAGCUAUGGAAGCUCUAUAUCCACAUCAUUAAACAUCAUCAUCACCACCGUCUCUAAUCCUGUGAGAUACAACCUGCCGGCAAGUGCGCUUAGAUCAGCUAAACAGGUGCUUUUGACUUUAACAGUACAUUUAUAAAUUACAUUUAAUAAAUCCACGUCCAAUAUAAUUAGCAUGCUUAUU
rnacentral:lncRNA from 1 species